rnacentral:lncRNA from 1 species
GAGGCAGUGAAUGGCUUGGAUAAAGUUAUUUUGGGUUAGAAUAUGUUAUAAUACAAUGAAUUUGAUUGAUUACAAGUGCUAGAGAUACAUGAAUAAUGUUUAGAAGUGAGAAGAAAGACUGGUUGAUAUUUGGUCCCAAAUGGGAUAAGAACCCAAAACCAUUGCUUUGAGGCAGUGAAUGGCUUGUAUAAAGUUAUUUUGGGUUAGAAUAUGUUAUAAUACAAUGAAUUUCAUUGAUUACAAGUGUUAGAGAUACAUGAAGAAUGUUUAAAAGUGAGAAGAAAGACUUGUUAAUAUUUAGUCCCAAAUGGGAUAAGAACCCAAAACCAAUGCUUUGAGGCAGUGAAUGGCUUUUAUAAAGUUAUUUUGGGUUAGAAUAUGGUAUAAUACAAUGAAUUUGAUUGAUUACAAGUGCUACAAAUACAUGAAUAAUGUUUAGAAGUGAGAAGAAAGACUUAUUGAUAUUUGGUCCCAAAUGGGAUAAGUACCCAAAACCAUUGCAUUGAGGCAGUGAAUGGCUUGGAUUAAGUUAAUUUGGGUUAGAAUAUGUUAUAAUAUAAUGAAUUUGAUUGAUUACAAGUGCUAGAGAUGCAAGAAGAAUGUUUAAAAGUGAGAAGAAAGACUU